GUCGGACGGCGCACAGAGAAGCUUGCUUCUUGGGUGGCGAGUGGCGAACGGGUGAGUAACAUAUCGGAACGUACCGAGUAAUGGGGGAUAACUAAUCGAAAGAUUAGCUAAUACCGCAUAUUCUCUGAGGAGGAAAGCAGGGGACCUUCGGGCCUUGCGUUAUUCGAGCGGCCGAUAUCUGAUUAGCUAGUUGGUGGGGU
rnacentral:rRNA from 1 species